CUUCUGGUCUGUGCCCGAACAAAAUCUACCUCUUCUUAAAGGCAAAUCAAGAGAACAAGAGGGUAUACCACAACAUGUGCCAGCAGAAAUAGAAGAAGGGUGGGUUCAUCAAAGACGCAGAGCUAAUAUCUCAGUCUUCCAUUAUGCUAUGAUUCAUAAUUAACUGUGUGAA